AGGUUGGGGCAUGGGAGAAGAGGAGGAGGGGGGCCAUGUUCCCUUCAUGACCUCCUUUUACAUGUGUUCCCUCCAACUGGUCACCACCCUGUGUCACCACUUGCACUUUGCAAAAGCGGAAGCUGAUGCAGAAGGCGUGAGAAGUCGGAGGAAGAGACAAAGCUGAGAGGUGAGGAAACUGAGGCCAACAAAGAUGCAGAACUUUCCCAGUGUCACCAGAACGCCCUCAAGUAACCAGCCUCAAAAGCAGGAUGCAGCUAAUUGAAUGGGACGGUGAUGAUUCCUUCUUCAGUUGGUCAAACAGCUAAAUCCGCCUUCGAACCUGCGGCCGCGCAGCUCCCGUGACGUCCGUUUCUGCCUGUUUCGGGUUUGGGGGAUGUGCAGCCACACACCUUCCCUGUCUGUGCUCCAAGCCCACUAACAGCCCGUUCACACCGCUCCAAGUUCAUUACUGCAGAGAGGUGGGAGCACGUAAGGGGAGUGAACCGGAGACUCAGGACUCAACUGCACCAGGCACCCGAUGAAAAGUGAAGAAGCAGGACGCCCGGCCGGCUCAGUUAAGUGCCCGAUCCUUGAUUUCUGCUUGGGUCAUGAUGCCAGAGUUGUGGGACUGAGCCGUGCGUCAGGCUCUGGACUGAGCAUGGAGC